rnacentral:piRNA from 1 species
UCUGUUGAAAACCGAGUUUCU